rnacentral:ncRNA from 1 species
GUUCUGGUACGCUCGUACCAGAACGGCGCGCGACGGCGGGACCUGCCACCCGGUGCGCCGCU